rnacentral:tRNA from 1 species
UCGGGGAUCGUCUAACGGUAGGACGUCAGGUUCUGGCCCUGAAAGUUGGGGUUCGAAUCCCUGUCCCCGAG